rnacentral:lncRNA from 1 species
UAUAUUCUUUCAUAUACAAUCAAUCCCUAAAGACCAGGUCACAUAUAACCACCUAUUUCUCCUUACCACCACAUCCAUAAUUACCUUCUAAAUCCACCCCAAUUUAAAAUAUUAUAAUAAUAUAUUUAAUAUUAUAAAAUAAAUUAUUAUAUAUUUAUAAAUAAAAUUAUAUAUAUAUAUAUAUAUAUAUAUAUAUAUAUAUAUAUAUAUAUAUAU